UACGGAGGUGGCGAGCGUUGUCCGAAGUUACUGGGCGUAAAGCGCACGUAGGCGGAUCGUUAAGUCGGGGGUGAAAUCCUGGAGCUCAACUCCAGAACUGCCUUCGAUACUGGCGAUCUUGAGUCCGGAAGAGGUGAGUGGAACUCCUAGUGUAGAGGUGGAAUUCGUAGAUAUUAGGAAGAACACCAGUGGCGAAGGCGGCUCACUGGUCCGGUACUGACGCUGAGGUGCGAAAGCGUGGGGAGCAAACAGG
rnacentral:rRNA from 1 species